GCACUCUUAGAUCAGUUCGGUCGAACGUGGGUCUCCAAAACCCGAUGUCGUAGGUUCAAAUCCUACAGGGCGUG
rnacentral:tRNA from 1 species